rnacentral:tRNA from 1 species
GCGGAAGUGUUGGAAUUGGCAGACAAGCAAGACUAAGGAUCUUGUGGGCGCAAGCUCGUGUGGGUUCGAGUCCCAUCUUCCGCA